rnacentral:rRNA from 1 species
AUUGAACGCUGGCGGCAGGCCUAACACAUGCAAGUCGAACGGUAACAGGAAGCAGCUUGCUGCUUUGCUGACGAGUGGCGGACGGGUGAGUAAUGUCUGGGAAACUGCCCGAUGGAGGGGGAUAACUACUGGAAACGGUAGCUAAUACCGCAUAACGUCGCAAGACCAAAGAGGGGGACCUUAGGGCCUCUUGCCAUCGGAUGUGCCCAGAUGGGAUUAGCUAGUAGGUGGGGUAACGGCUCACCUAGGCGACGAUCCCUAGCUGGUCUGAGAGGAUGACCAGCCACACUGGAACUGAGACACGGUCCAGACUCCUACGGGAGGCAGCAGUGGGGAAUAUUGCACAAUGGGCGAAAGCCUGAUGCAGCCAUGCCGCGUGUAUGAUGAAGGCCUUCGGGUUGUAAAGUACUUUCAGCGGGGAGGAAGGGAGUAAAGUUAAUACCUUCGCUCAUUGACGUUACCCGCAGAAGAAGCACCGGCUAACUCCGUG